AGAGUAAAGCAAAGCUUUGUUGAGAAUCAUUUUUAGUCAGAGCACUGUUUUUCCUCCAUUUUCCUCCAUGGGUUUCUCUUCCAGUAACAAAUGUGAUCCAAAGAAAUGUAAGCAUAGACAUGAAAAGGGAUAAUGCCGCCUUUAAAACUGUUUUCUAGUUUGUUGUUAGAAGUUAUAAAAAUACACAGGAACACAGCAUUCACUUGAAAAUAAAUUUUUAGGCAUUUUAAAUAGAUUAAAGCAGAAGAAAGAGUGAGAAAGUAACCAUUCUAAAUUCUUAAAAAGAGAAUAGCACCUAUGAAAAUGAAAUAAAGAAUCAUGAAUAACAUCAGGAAGUCAGGAAAUGCAGACCAACAGUAAAAGAAUGCUAUUAAUGUCCAAAUGACUUAUUUUUAUUUUGUGCAGCAAAACUCAUCAGAUUUAUCUGCCAAACCCAAAUUCUCAAAGCCUUUCAACCCACUGCAAAACAAAGGCCAUUAUGCAUUUUCUCAUACUGGAGAUUCCUCCGACAACAUCAUGCUAACUCAGUUUGUCUCAAAUGAAUAAGGCAAGGAAUCAUAAAAUCAAGAAAAAAUUUCCAGAACAACUUGACAUUUAGAGACAAAUGUCAAUGAAGAAAUUAUGCUCAGUAUUCGAUCGGGUUUUCUGAUUUAGGGGUCUGGGAAUAAAACAAGAAUGUCUCAGUGGCUUCAUUACUGCUCCCUUUUGUCUUCAAUUAAAUGAAAAGAAGAUUUA
rnacentral:lncRNA from 1 species